rnacentral:rRNA from 1 species
CCUACGGGUGACAGCAGUGAGGAAUAUUGGUCAAUAGACGAGAGUCUGAACCAGCCAAGUAGCGUGAAGGAUGACUGGCCUAUGGGUUGUAAACUUCUUUUAUAUGGGAAUAAAAUGUUCCACGUGUGGGAUUUUGUAUGUACCAUAUGAAUAAGGAUCGGCUAACUCCGUGCCAGCAGCUGCGGUAAUACGGAGGAUCCGAGCGUUAUCCGGAUUUAUUGGGUUUAAAGGGAGCGUAGGUGGAUUGUUAAGUCAGUUGUGAAAGUUUGCGGCUCAACCGUAAAAUUGCAGUUGAAACUGGCAGUCUUGAGUACAGUAGAGGUGGGCGGAAUUCGUGGUGUAGCGGUGAAAUGCUUAGAUAUCACGAAGAACUCCGAUUGCGAAGGCAGUUCACUGGACUGCAACUGAUACUGAGGCUCGAAAGUGUGGGUAUCAAACAGGAUUAGAUACCCGGGUAGUC